UACGUAGGGUGCAAGCGUUAAUCGGAAUUACUGGGCGUAAAGCGUGCGCAGGCGGUUUUGUAAGUCUGUCGUGAAAUCCCCGGGCUCAACCUGGGAAUUGCGAUGGAGACUGCAAGGCUGGAGUCUGGCAGAGGGGGGGUAGAAUUCCACGUGUAGCAGUGAAAUGCGUAGAGAUGUGGAGGAACACCGAUGGCGAAGGCAGCCCCCCUGGGUCAAGACUGACGCUCAUGCACGAAAGCGUGGGGAGCAAACAGG
rnacentral:rRNA from 1 species